UCUUAUUCUUUGAACCACUCAAGAUCUGCCUCGAUUCAGGUGAUGAUAGUUCCUUGGGAUCCUCGAGCAGCUGUUGUGAUUCUGAAUCGGAUUACUUCUUUGGCGUUACAGAAACUGAAACUGA
rnacentral:ribozyme from 1 species